GAACGAACCUGGGGCUGUUGACGACAGAAACCCUUUGGCCUUAUGAUCUAUGGACUUUGAGUGAAACGGAGCUGGACAUUUAUCAUUUGAAUAAAGAUGGCUUUCCUCUAUUUUUAACAUUUAAACAGCCCUUAAUUGUUGAGGGAAAAGUUGAAUAGAAAAAGGGUAACGGAGAGGUAAUCAAGAGGCCUUUCUUUCACCCAGAUUUCUCACUCAAAGGGACUCUUCAUUGCAGGGUCUUGUUAAAGUGUCCCAAACAUGACUUCCUAAAAAAAAGAAAGAAAAAAAAUCUUGUUCACAGAAGUGGGAUUUUUGCAAUGAAGGUUUUUUUGGAGUCCCUUGCAUUUGAUUUCUUGGGUCUAGUUUUGAUUUCCCUUGGUUGUGUUCCUUUCUGAAGCAUGAGGCUCCUGACUGAUGCCCUGCACACAAUCGGCCUGUUCAUCCGUCACCGUGGAGACGAGAGAGAGACCACUGUCACGGGACUGCCUUUCCUCCUCACAAAUUAUGCUGUGAAUUUUACAAGGAUUUAUUUUCCCUUUUUCAUUUAUUUUUUACCAAAGCAGUUGUUUUAUAGCACAUGGGGUGUCACAUGGUUGUGUCACACGGGGUGUCACAUGGGGUGUCUGUAACCAAUAAUGUAGCAGUUCACCACUUCAACGCAAAAUUGAUUUCGAAUUUAUGUCAAUUACAAAAGGCUUUAUUUGUUGCAUUUGCAAACCUGAACUGUUUCCUAACAGAAUUGGCUGUUGUGUUAACCCAACAUUUUUCUUAAGCAUUUUCUUCUUCUUAUUUCCUUUAAAAGUUAACAGACUAUGACAGCAUUGAAACACUGAAUACUCUGCAGGCUCCGGAGUAGUAGAAUGAAUGCAAAUAUUUCUGAGGAGUGAACCGCAUCGUUAUUCUUUAUUUUCCUCGUCUGAGCAGGCUCUCCUGCCUUUCAUGUGUCAGUUGUAUUAACGUGCUAGUUGCUACCAUCCCACCUAACACAAAACGUGGCUACUCAGACCUACUAGUGGAGUUUAACGCAAAGUCUUUUAAUUAAGUGUUCUGUUUUUUCCGAAGUCAUUUGGUUUAAUCUGGCCGUACUGCCCUUAUUGCCCGUGUUCUACUUAAAGGGAAAGAAUAGUUGGCCCACCUAUGGCCACACAGGGAUGCUUGGGCACACGAGUGUGUGUGUGUGCGUCUGUGUGUUCGUUCGUGUGUGUGUGUGCGCGUCUGUGUGUUCGUUCGUGUGUGUGUGCGCGUGUGUGUGUGUGUGUGUGUGUGUGUGUGUGUGUGUGUGUGUGUGUUCCAGCUGUGUGUCCGG
ensembl:lncRNA